GUGGAUUUGGGGGUUGCCUUUAAUUCAUCUCCAGCUUAGCUGUUCCAGUUUUUGAAAAGACUUCUGUUUUCAUGGUUUCCACUUCCUGCAGGAAGAAUGUUAUCUCACAAAGAGAUGAAUGAACUCCAUAAGACAGAGCUGCCAUUGCUUCCCUUGAGCCGACAGCUUUUGAGUCCAAUAGAGUGGCUGAAAGUUCCACCUAGAUAUGUGGAUAGUGAAAUUCGUCUGAGGAGCCAGCUAAAAAUGAUCCCAACAAGAAACCAAACUUCUAUGGAUUUCAAAAGCUGGGGUGAUCCAUUCUGGGGUUCAGCAAACAAAAGAAUGAUGUCUGUCAGGAAACCAGAUUUUGGCCAUGCAUCCACUCCUAUGACAAAACAAAUACUGCUUGGUUCAUCAGGUUGUAAAACACCAAUAAAUUCUGCUUCCUAAUUACCAGUAUAUCUUUGACCUGGAUUCCUUACAUAAGUCAUAAAUGUGUCAUUCUCAGGAUGGCCAGGAGGAGCAAUCCACUACAACUGGGUUUGAUCCCCACACUCCUAAUAAGCUGCAACUGUCAUUUUCAAAACAGCUACCAUUUGGAAAUUGAAGGUUGGGUUGCUGACCUGAAGGCUGCCAGGUUCGAAUCCCACCCGGGGAGAGCGCGGAUGAACUCCCUCUAUCAGCUCCAGCUCCAUGUGGGGACAUGAGAGAAGACUCCCGCAAGGAUGGUAAAACAUCAAAACAUCCGGGCGUCCCCUUGGGCAACGUCCUUGCAGAUGGCCAAUUCUCUCACUCCAGAAGCAACUCCGGUUGCUCCUGACACAAAAAAUAAAAAAUAAAAAAAUAAAAUUGAAAAUAGAUCUAGGGCAAUGGCUCCAAAGUAGAGAAGAAUAUUGCAGUUAAGCAGCAACUGCCAUUUUGAAAAUAGCAGCUUGAAGGCAAUGGCUCCAGUGUGGAGAAGAACAUGGUUUCUCAAAAAUUUGAUCUAGGAAAAGGAAGAUCAAUGCAGAAGUGGUACAAACAAUAAUAAUAAUAAUAAUAAUAAUAAUAAUAAUAAUAAUAAUCAUAGAAUGAGGAUUUGCAUUCUCAUAAAUUGCAGAAAGCAUUAGCAAGAAUUAGGAAAGUGUUAGAAUAUAUAGCAGAUGCAGGACAUGAUUUAGUGGGUUUUGCUGCCCAAACUAUUAAUGCUAUGACAGUGGCUUGAAGGUCACUAUGCUCAUGCCAUUGGGAUGCUGACCAAAAAUCUAGAAACAGUCUAGCUUAGGUGCCUUUAGAGACUAGUUGCUCUUUUGGCUCAAAACACCCGAGAAGGUGUUAGUGGAAAGUGCUCAUAAUAAUUGUAAAAAGGUGUCCCUUCUAUAAAGUGGCAAAAGCAAGGUUUGCUUUUCAGAUUGGGCGGGGGGGG
rnacentral:lncRNA from 11 species